UACGUAGGGGGCAAGCGUUGUCCGGAUUUAUUGGGCGUAAAGAGCGUGUAGGCGGCCAGACAGGUCCGUUGUGAAAACUGGAGGCUCAACCUCCAGACGUCGAUGGAAACCGUCUGGCUAGAGUCCGGAAGAGGAGAGUGGAAAUUCCUGGUGUAGCGGUGAAAUGCGCAGAUAUCAGGAAGAACACCCGUGGCGAAAGCGGCUCUCUGGGACGGUACUGACGCUGAGACGCGAAAGCGUGGGGAGCGAACAGG
rnacentral:rRNA from 1 species